CGAGAACGUUACAAUUUUUGCGGGCAGUGAGAAAAGGGCUUUCGUCUCCGUGGGUAGGACCACGCAGUGUAGUUGAAGUUUCAGGUGUGAACUAUAUCACAGUCAGGCAAGAAAGGUGCACGUUCGUGGCCUUACCCCUGCAUUGGACUUUCUUCGGCUGAUGUCACAUCGAACGGAACUUUAAGUUUAUGACUGCGCAGCAAUGCUGCUAAUGUACUGAGGAACUGUGAAGAUGGAGGAACAUCAGAAUCCUGGAUGGAUGUCCACAGAGACAAAGCACCAUUGCAGUCUCCACGGCGAC